rnacentral:rRNA from 1 species
CCUACGGGAGGCAGCAGUGGGGAAUAUUGCGCAAUGGGCGAAAGCCUGACGCAGCGACGCCGCGUGAGGGAUGAAGGUCUUCGGAUCGUAAACCUCUGUCAGCAGGGAAGAACGGUCAAUGUGCUAAUCAGCAGUGAAUUGACGGUACCUGCAAAGGAAGCACCGGCUAACUCCGUGCCAGCUGCCGCGGUAAUACGGAGGGUGCGAGCGUUAAUCGGAAUUACUGGGCGUAAAGCGCUCGUAGGCGGUAUGUCAAGUCAAGGGUGAAAUCCCCGCGCUCAACGUGGGAACUGCCUUUGAAACUGGCAAACUGGAGUGUGUGAGAGGAUAGUGGAAUUCCAGGUGUAGGAGUGAAAUCCGUAGAUAUCUGGAGGAACAUCAGUGGCGAAGGCGACUGUCUGGCACAUAACUGACGCUGAGGAGCGAAAGCGUGGGUAGCAAACAGGAUUAGAUACCCGAGUAGUC